rnacentral:lncRNA from 10 species
UCUAAAGAGCCUCAGCUGCCGCGUGCCUUCUGUCUGCUGUGGGCCCAGCAGCUGCACAGACCCCUCUUGUUGGGAGACAAGACAGGGCUCUUUCUCUCCCGUGACCUCAGCCUCAUCUCCAAUCGUGGGGAAGAGAGAAACUGAAAUUCUUCCUGUGACUGAACACAUGAGAAUGCAACAGUUACUUGGGGUAACAGGUUUCCUGUGGGUCCUGUGUGAAGAGUAUGCAUUCAUUCCAGUGUCGGGGAGGGGAGAAGAAUGAGGAGGAGGCAGUCCCAUGUGGAUGUCAGUGUGAUGAUUAGGAUGCCUGAUGCUUCCGAAACAAGAAUACACUUUACGAAAAUGCCCAUUGAAAAUACUUUUUCCUUUCUACUCUUGUGCUAAGAGUGCCUGUUUGGACCCCAUGGCUUCGUAAUGCAAUGGCUUUUACCCUUGUCCCACGGCCCCCCUGCCCAACUCAAGAAGGUGAUGAAAUAGGCUGCAGAAGUUCCCAGCCAGGCAAGUAGAAGCAGGGUAUUGUGAAGAUGAAAGCAAAGAUAUGGCAAGAGCUCAGAAGAGUACCUGGCCCAUAUUAAGUGACCAUGCUCAAGAGCUUCAGAAUCUUUACAACGUGAAAGA